AAUUGAUUGAUCAAAACCGAGGGUUUCCUAUUUUCCAUUCUCCCUCCACCACCCAUCUCUCUUUCUCUCUCCUUCAUUUUCUCUCUCUUUCCCUUACCUUACUUUCUCUCCCCUCCAUUCUUUAUCCCUUUCUCUCUCUAACAUUUUCUCUCUCUUCACGGAGAAAAAUCUACGGUGACGUCAAGGUGUAGGGAUAUCGGUAGGGGUUGGUAGAGAUCUGGUAGGGAUUCCCAAGAUGAGCUUCGAUCCAGUUCCUUCUAACUCUCAUCACAAUCUUGAUGCACAGAUCGCUCAGCUUAUGCAGUGCAAACCUCUUUCCGAACAAGAGCAGAGGAAUUUACACCAACAGGAAGGACCAAAAGAGAAAACAAGUAAUCACAUUAGAGGAAAGGUUGACUCCGUGUCGUGCUACUGCAAGGUUGAUGCUAGUUUAAAAACAGUCGUUGGUGCAAGAAAAUUUGUUUCAGGAUCAAAAAUCUGCAUACAACCCGAUAUAAAUCCCCGUGCACACCGAACAAAAAACUCUCGCAGAGAGAGGAACCGUGUCCAAUCACCUCUCUUGCCUGGCCUCCCCGAUGAUCUUGCCGUUGCUUGUCUUAUUCGAGUCCCUCGAGUGGAACACCGAAAACUUCGCCUAGUUUGCAAAAGAUGGCAGCGACUCGUGUCUGGAAACUUCUACUAUUCUCAGAGGAAAAAUCUCGGAAUGGCAGAAGAAUGGGUAUAUGUGAUGAAAAGGGACCGAGAUGGAAAGAUCUCAUGGCAUGCUUUUGAUCCUACUUAUCAGGUUUGGCAACCACUUCCUCCUGUUCCUGGAGAGUAUUCCGAAGCCAGAGGAUUCGGGUGUGCUGUUCUAAGCGGGUGUCAUCUGUACUUGUUCGGAGGUGAAGAUCCGCUGAAGGGUUCUAUGAGACGUGUCGUAUUCUAUAGUGCAAGGACAAACAAAUGGCACGCAGCGCCAAGCAUGUAUCGGAGGCGCCAUUGUUUCGGUUCUUGUGUCAUAGAUAACUGCCUUUAUGUGGCUGGUGGUGAAUGUGAAGGGAUCCAACGGGCUCUCCGUUCAGCCGAGAUGUAUGACCCGAACAAGAACCGAUGGAGUCCCAUUGCCGAGAUGAGCACAGGGAUGGUCCCUUUCAUCGGAGUUGUGUACAACGGAAAAUGGUAUUUAAAAGGAUUACGUACUCAUCGCCAAGUAAUGAGUGAAGUAUAUGAUCCCGAGACCAACACCUGGAACCCUGUGAAUGACGGAAUGGUCGCAAGUUGGCGAAAUCCAAGCACCACCAUGAACGGUCAGCUAUAUUCUAUCGAUUGCAGGGACGGGUGCAAGCUUAGAGUAUACGAUGACGCAACGGAUUCAUGGAUAAAAUUUAUCGACAGUAAACUCCACCUUGGAAGUUCCCGAGCUUUGGAGGCUGCGGCACUUGUUCCCCUUAACGGUAAGCUUUGUAUUAUUCGUAACAACAUGAGCAUCAGUCUAGUUGACGUCUCAAGCCAUGAUAAGCACGUCGAGAGUAACCCGCACCUAUGGGAGAAUGUCGGUGGAAGGGGUCAUUUGAGGACUAUGUUCACUAAUCUAUUAUCAAGCAUAGCCGGCCGAAGUGGUAUAAAAAGCCAUAUUUUGCACUGUCAAGUGCUUCAAGCAUGAGAUUCAACGGACGACAUAUAUAACGUGCUUUUGGGUAUUAGAAUUCAUUCGUUUUAUGUCCAAAAAUGGGUAGGAUCCGUUGAGUGCAAGUCCAUAUAUGCUCAGACGCAGAACCCAAAUUCUUUUACCUUCACAAUGUAUAUUUCACCGAUUCGUGAAGAGAAUUUUGCAUCCAUUCAACAUCGAAGAGAGGAGAAGCGCCCCGAAAUGUAUUAGGUUGUUCUAGAAAAACGAAAAACUAUGGUGAAGUUACCGUGAGGUGCUGCAUCUGUUACUGCAAUUACGACGACAUCUGCAGUUAUGAAACCUUGUGCUAGGGUCUUGUUAUGAUUGCCGACUGCUGUCUUAGUUCGGCGUAAGUACUGGUAUGAAGAUACAGCAAUAUCGUCGUCUACCUUACCUCGAUGUCUUGUAUCAAAGUAAAGUGAUGGAAAUAUUACCCACACGACCAAAACAAACAUGAAAGCAAACUAGCUUAGUUCGUCAUUUUUACUUUGCUACAAUUCUUUUUAUGGAAAAAUUUCUACUAUUUAUUUUCAUAGACACAUUUCAACUCUAUGUAUAUCCACGUACUUCAAAUGAUCUCACUAUUUCUUAAUCUAAAAUUUCAUUAAUGCAAUUUAUUAAGGACUAUGAGAGUACAUACCAUAUUUUCUUGAAAUCCACUUUUAUGCGUUGGAAGACA